CAGGAGGAAACAGGCUCAGAGCAGACACAGAGCUUGAUGAAGUUACAUAGCCACGAAGUGACGGGGUCUGACCAUCAAACCAGAGCCUGCAGUCCUAACCACCACACUGCACUCUCCCUCUGGCUUAGUUUCCAAGAUGGACAAGAUACAGCCCUGGCGGUCCAAGGGCACAGAGCAUCAGAAGGACACAGAGCUGCUGUUCAGGGCCACUUCCUGCAGGAAGCUCUCCCUGAAUUCUUCUGCCAUCCCUUCUCAAGACUUGCAGUGCUGGGUAUGCAACCAACGUGUAAACGCUUCCCUGGUGCCAAGAAUUGCCCCCAGGGCACCCCUGAGGCACCCCCGGAGUUCCAGGGAGCACAGUUUGAAAGCACAGUAUUACAGGAGUGCGCGCCAUAAGCAGAAUGAAAAACGCUUUCUAAAAUCUACCUGCCCCCAACCAAACCUGGAUUGGAAGCUUCUUGAGGGCCAGCAGCACCUGGCGCCUGCUGAAAACACAAGUGUCUGUGAAGUGGAUGGAGGAGUGAAGCCUUUGUUUUCAUUUCCGAGGUCUGGCUCAGCUUCUCAGUCCCGGGACGCCCUCGCUGCAGUCCUUCAUGACCCUGUAAGGCAGGCGACAGUCUCCGGCUGCUCCCGGAUGGCGAGUUUGCGCUUUCCUUGCCUUUGUAUCAGAAUGAUUUGUGGCUUCUCAGGUGGAACGGCUGGUGAUAUAAUUAACAUUUCAAAACUUCGCAACCACAAAUUGAAUUUGUUUUGAAUAUUUGGGGAUGUUUAAACAGUAGCUUGAGUGUUAAAUUUGCACUUUAUGGGAG
rnacentral:lncRNA from 1 species